CCAUUCUGAAAAUUUUGCACCAUCGUUGCCUCAUCAUGGGCUAGAAACAUGGUCCACUCGAAGCUGAAUUCAAAUUAAACUAUAUUUGUUAAUUGACAUCUAAAUAAUGGGGACACAAUACAUGGAACAGAAGAGGUCAAAAUUUAACAUGCCCCCUCAACAAUAAGCAAUAUUGCAUCAACAUAAAAUCAAAAGCUUACCAGCUACAAAGAAAAAGAGAACAAAAGCAAUAGAAGAAGAGAACAAUAAAUUGUCUCUCAAACUUUUGGCAAGCACAAAAGCAGGAAAACAAUGAUCAAGUGCAAGUCCUCACAGCAAACAGUGGCACAAAAACUCAACUUCAACAAACUGUAUAUCCCACUCACCUUGCCUUAGUUAUUGCAUUAGUGCAACAAAAAUUUCUUUUGCUCCCUUCAUACAGGUCUUCCAUCGACAACACAGUAUAAUACACCCAACUGUUGAAGAUAAUUGAAAGAACUCACACAAAAUCAUUUCUCUUUUUAUUUUUUAUUUUCAUAUAUAGUAUAUCUAUGUCCAUCACUCUUAAUAUUCAGGCUCUUCUUUCGCUCCACAUUAACGAGUUCUGUCCAUGAUUAUAUUUGCCAGACACCUAAGAUGUAUGUGAUGUGUGAAUAUAUGUACCCCCUAUUUUGUUUUAUUCCAAUUCUGGAACUCAUACUUGUGCACUAAUGCAGCAUCCGUGACCGAGUUACCAUCUUUAAGUUACAGAGCCUGUGACAAGAGUAACUUUAAUGCUUCAAACUCAAUUCAUGGAGUUAUUGUUAGCCUUUUACACAACUGUAAAAAACAAUUUCCUUUCAUUUGCAAAACUUUAGCUUUGACUAUAUUUUAAUAUGAAAGAAACCAAAUAAAACCCAAAUGACAUCAAGAAGCAUUUUAUUGUCAGACUGUGUGACUCAGAAACAUGCUAGAGAAAAAACUGAUAAGCAAUUUCUUAAUUUCUUAAUCAGUUCCAUUUUUUAAUGGAGUUUUGAUCGGUUAUCCAAGAGACAUCCAAAGUAAAAUUAGCUAAAUAUGUUUUAUAUUUUAUGAAUUGUUUUGGCAACUACAGCAUAAUAACUUCAGCAGAGGAGGAUGGAUACAAUUGCAGAUGGUCAUGCCAUUUGAGCAAAGAAGAGAUGAGAUAUUGAUCGAUGCAGUGCACUCGACCACAUUUCUUUUUAAUUAAUUUGAUAUUGUCCAACUUCAAUGCAAGAUCAGGAUCCUCAUAAUAGUACAUCAUAUCGGAGAUCUACAUACAAAAAUAAGUCUGUUGCACUUGCAAAUUUGUCUGCUACGGUCUUUCCCAAACAAUUGUUCAAGAUUGAAAGGUUCUUAGUUUAAGACCAGAUGCAGAUGUGAGAAGAUAUUGAUUUAUCACUGCAUUUAAACCUCACAAUAAAGUCUCCAUUGUGAAGAUCUCGAAACAGUGAAUCCAAAACAAUAGAAAUAUGCCAUCUCUAUGAUUCCAUGUUAAUCCUAAAUCUUUCCAAUGGCUGCAAAUCAUGUUUUGACGGCGUAAUAUUUGCAUGUUUCUUAGCCGCAAGGCCUUGUUAUAUUUUCAGGAUGGAAACAGCAUUUAUGAAACCAAAUCUGCAAGAGUGACGUUAUCAUGAGGAAUAGGAUAAUCAUUUCAAUUGUCAAAUUCUAGGACCAUAUUAUAAGAGAUGCCAUGCCAAAGGAUGAGGAUGCUAGGCUGUUAGAGUUAUGACCUUUUGCUUUGAUUCUUCCACAGUUCUUCAGAAUCUUGAUGACUCAGGUACAAUUGAAAAUAUUAUUAAUUAUGUGUUUUUAUAUGGUCCAAGCCUUUGUGCAGAUAGCACUUGUAGGAAAAAUACUUGUUAGUGAUAGCUAGGCUGUGGGACCACAAAUCUGCUCCUCGGGAGGAGUGCUCCUUUGGAGAGAAAGGGAUGUACAAAUGAAGAAAGACAGACAUAGUGUUAAGGAGGGUUGGUGAAGAAAGAAAAAAGGCCCUUAAGAAGAUGCGUGGAAGUUGCGAGGAACGAUUUAAAAGUGCCCAGUCAUAUGGAAUUUAUAUACCUUGCUAGGAAGGCAAUUAUACUGACAUUCUGUCCCACUUCAAUAUAGUUAGAUCGAACAGACUUAAUAAAUGAAAAAUCCACCCCUGUCUAUCUCUAGCAAUGUUAUGAGGGAUAACAUGUCUGAGUUUGAAUGUGAUCAAGAAUGUCAGGUUGGGAAUAUUUUUGCCUUAACAUAAGAAUAUCCUACAUUGUAUUAAUCAUACUCCUCGAGAUUAACUCUACAUACUCAAUCAGGAUAGCAGUACUUUACGAAUUGAUUGUCUGUCUUCUAUAAAGAGGGUCAGUGUAUGCAUCAACUAUAAUCUAUAUUUCAUUCUGCAUAGCUUCCAUAUCAUGUCAAGCAUGUGCAUAUUAAACAUGUGACAGCAUAAUCUAAUCUUAAAGAAGAUCAAUUCAAAAUCAAAAGAAUGGCUCUAUCCAUUUCUGGGCAACUUUGUCAUGGUUUACGGUGACAUAUGUUCAUCCAUUAAGAAAAAAAAAGCAAGCGUACAGGUGAAAUUCACAGCGUGAGACAUCUGAGAACCAUAUUAACAGAUUCAACAAUCAAUGGUAGAGUUUUUUUUUAACUUUAAUAAGAUUUUUCGAUCAUGUAAAUUGGGUGUUUCAUCUUAUAAUCAUUUUCCUUCUACACAAAAAUCAUUAUAUUUUUCUUUUAUGUACUUUUACAAAUAUGAUUUUUGAUUAAUGCAAUGGAUCCUGGUAAAUGUUCUCAAGCAAGCAUGCGUAUUCCUUGAUGGACUAAACCAUGAUAAAGACCGGCAUAAAGGGUGCUGUAAACAUGCCUAGAAAAGCGUCUGACAUGUUAGCUAGAUCUAUGACACUGUGUUUUCUAAUGCCAAUAGCUCAUCAAAGUUUUCAAUUUUAUAUUUUGGCUUUGCGAAUAAGCUGAAAUUAUCGUGCAUUUCAAAAUAUUUUAAAGCUCUCGGAAUAUGAACCUUUUAGUUAAACAUUAGAAAGGUCCAAAAUUUUGAAUCACAACAAAGAAAAAACAAAAACUGAGAAUAAAUGGUCGUGACAAGUUCUGCAAAUUGAUUCAGAUACACUAAUGUGUUGAUUAAUAAAAUAAAGAGUUCUAUAACUAAUUCAAUGAAUUAGUCUAAGACCCUACAAAAUCUCUAAAUUUCUUGUAUAUAUACUAAAACUUUCCAAAGCAUAACAAGAACUAAAGAAAACAGCUUAGUUUACCGGUUUCACGAAGGCAUCAGCUGGCUCCUCUUUGCCACAGAUUCCAUCCCUCCAAAUGGCCACGACGUCCUACCACCUCGCCGCCGCCGCCGCCGCCGCCGCAUCCAUCCGCACCGCAGGCGAGGACUACGGCGUUAUCUCCCCGGCAUCGGCGGCCGAUCGGCGCCGCCCACCAGCACGUCCGCUUCGAGAGCCAUCAAGAUCGAAGGAGAAUUUGGCCAUCAAUUCGGGAGCGAUCGAAAUGCGAGGAGAUCGAAAAGCGAGGAUGAAGUGAGAGAGCUAAACCCUAGCGAGGUCGCGUUAAGAAGAAAAAGGGGCUUUAGGUUGAC
rnacentral:lncRNA from 1 species